rnacentral:ncRNA from 1 species
AAAAUGAUGCUAAAUUAGAAGAGUAAUUUUUUAUGUGUUUAUAGAGAGCUAACGGAUGCUGAGAGUUAGUAACAUUAAAGAAUGAAUGGACUAAUUAUUUCAUGAAAGUAACCCAUAUCUUUCAGGUUUGGCACCCCUUAUCGUGCACUUUUUCUUUUGGAAAAGAUGAGAUAACAUUAAUGAUUAAUGUUAAUUGAGGUGGUACCGCGUAUUCACAAGUAAUGACGCCCUCACA